GGGGAUUUGGCUCAGUGGUAGAGCGCUUGCCUAGCAAGUACAAGGCCCUGGGUUCUAUCCCCAGCUCCG
rnacentral:tRNA from 1 species